rnacentral:lncRNA from 11 species
CUUACAGUAACGGCUGCCUGAUCGCUCCUCCCCCUUGUUCUGCUUAGCUUUUGCAAGCAAGGCCUGCAAAUGGCCGCACAGCAACCCUGCAAGGCAGACCACUCACCAACCCUGUAAGACGUUUCACGAAGGACCAUAGAGGCAUGGAUUAUUCGUAGUGCGCUUCUACUGCUGACAGCUAUUAUAAUUUCUAUCAUCUACAUUUCAUGGAAAUGCAUGAAGAACGUUAAGCCCAGCCAGGCCACGACCAAGGUGCCAGCUGCAGAAGAAACUGAAAAACGAACGGAUGAUGGAGCAGAUAGUGAAGAACACCAUUGAAAUC